GCCUCAGUGCCCUUCAGUCACUGGCCUCACUUAUCUCCUCUGUCUCUCACCUUUUAUCUCCUUUAUCUCCAUUCCAGCCAUACUGGCUUCUUUGCUGUCUCUUGAAAACAUCAGGGGCUUUCCUGAUAGCUCAGUUGGUAAAGAAUCUGCCUGCAAUGCCUGAGACCCUGGUUCGAUUCCUGGAUAAGGAAGAUCCCCUGGAGAAGAGAUUGGCUAUCCAUUCCAGUAUUCUUGGGCUUCCCCUGUGGCUCAGCUGGUGAUACAGAAAGGUUAGAGGGGACUGGAAAUGGCUAAUAGCCCCUCCCCCAUGUUCGGAAGCGCUUGAGUAAGACAGGAGUCUGGAAGUAACCAGCUGCUGAUGGUAUUGGGUCAGCAGCUCAACGAUAUCACAUUUGCCAGAGGACUGCCCAAGCUUCAGCCACCCCAUCCUUGUUCAAGGCAGGAAAAAUGAGGUGACGAAUAUGUGUGCCCUCUGUACUUGAAUUAAGAAAAUAUGAUUCUUCCUAGAAAUGCCCGUCUCCUCCAGCAGAUGCUUGCUGGCAAGACUGUGUCCCAUUACUACCCCUAUGUGCCUGUGAUUCAGGAAAAGGACAAUGGGAUGGGGAGUGCUUGCCGAGUUGGAUGAUUAACAGUCCAGAGUCGUUUGUCUAUUUAUCUAUUAGAAUGCUUGUCUGUUACUGAUUUGGCGUUUCUUUGUAUAGUAACAAUAUACAACCCCCCCUUUUUAUUGUAUAUGUCAUAUUUGUUUGGCAAAUAAAUUUUUCCAGCUUCUUGUUUACAGUUUAGUUUUGUUUCAAC
ensembl:lncRNA